rnacentral:misc_RNA from 1 species
AGAGGAUACUAUUUUCUGGUCCCUGAUUCAGAAAUGUAUAACGGUAGAAAACAUCAAUUUCUAAUGGAUGCAUGAGGUCUCUCCACAUAUCUUUCUGGGAGUCAAAAUAAGACAGCAAAACCGCCAGCCUGCUCAUAGCCCGAACUUUAGUAUUUGAUACCUGUAUAUAAGAGUCAGUAAAACUGAUAGAACCCUGGAGGAGGGGAACCUUUUCCUUGGAGUCAGAAAGUUCAUAAUCAAUGGUCA